AGCCAGCCCCCAGUCCCCGGGAGCCCCGCGCCCUGCCCCGGCCCGCUGGGGUCGUGCCCGCCCGUACCUGCAGCAUCCGGGGGCGCGGGGCGCCCAGGUAGGUCGCGCUUGCGGGCGGCGCGGAAGCUCGCUCGCGGCGCGACCUGGCCGCCGUCUGAGCAUGCCCAGUGCCGCCCGCGGGCGGCUCCCGCCGGCCGGGCUGGCCGCGACGGGCCCGCGCGCCGGGCGGGGGGCGGGCGCCCGGGCCGCCCUGCGGGGCGCCCCUGCUCCGCCCCGGGCUGGCGCGCUCGGACGCGCCGCCCAGGGCCACCGGGGCUCUCCUGCGGAGCUCUGGGCGGCCCUCAGCCCCCUGGCGCACGCACGCAGGCAUUCGUCCCCUAACCAUUUAUUGGGUACCUACUGUGUGCCGAGCCCUCAGUGAUUUUCUGCCUAGGAAUGUCAAACACGGCGUUCAACAAAUCUUUGAAAUGAGGAACAGUCUUGCCCAGCUGAGGUCCUGCUGACUUCAAGUUCAGUGUUCAUCUCGUUCCACUAGGAAUUUCAGCUCUGGAGCUGUAUAGCCCUGUCUUCUCUGCCGUGUCCCAGCUCGGGUACAGCAGCACGUGGCUCACGCCUCCGAAGUACGUACACUAAGAACCCCGUGUGAGUGAUAAACUAAGAGGAUGGAAAAUUUUACCAAGAGAUAAUCAUGGUCUUGGCCUACCUACUGAAAAAGUCUGCAUGGUAUUUGAUGGUAACAAAUCUAUCUGAUUGGAUGGCAUCUCCUGGGAAGUGAGAACAUAAGAAGGAGGCACCAAGAGGCAUUCAUUUGUUCACCAGAUAUUGAUUAACACCAGCUAAAUGCCCUGCUCUGUUCUAGGUUCUGGGGAUAGAGUGAAGUCUUUUGAUUUUAUGGAGCUUAUACGUGAAGAGACAAAAAAAUGGAGUCACUUUAAGAUGACCUCUGAUCUGAAAAACAAGGACUGUGGUAGACUGUGUAGAUUGCAUUGGCUUCAAUUCUUCCCUCCUCUCUGCAUCCAUGCUCUUUGCCAUGUAACCUUGAAGUUCCUUACAUUAGAAGUAGAUGGACUUCUCCCUGCUGGACUUUGGGCUUGGCCAUGUGACUUGCUUUAGCCAAUGGGAUGUUAGCAGAUGUUAUGCAAUUAGAGGCUUGAAAUAUGUUUGCGUGGUUAAGCUUGUCCUUCUUGUACUUCUGCUUCUGCCAUAAAAAGGCUGCCUCGGGUGGACUGCUGGUCCCAGAAGAAUGAGCAAAAUGGGAAGUAGAACCAAACUGAAGGAAAGGUUUUUGUCUUAAGAUGCUGGGUUUUAGAGGUAGUUUGUUAUAUAGCAUUUUGGAGCAACAGCUCAUUGAUUCUAUCCUCCAUGAGACCUUCUUGAAACCCCUGCUUUGGAAGUGCUAUUCCCGAGGAACUGGCUGCUACUAUAGAGGCCCUCAUACUUCCUUAGUUCUGUACAAGAAACCUUUCCAUGUAAGAAAUAUUUUAACCUAGUCAUUUACAUCAGCACCUAAGAAACCCGAGUAUGUCUUUUCCUUGCAACCUGAAUGAGCCUAAGACACGAUCUCCCCUCCUAUCACAGGUCCUAGAGGGAAGAGAUUACUCUUGUUUGCAAAACUGGCACAGAACCUGGUGUACUGACUGCAUGCUGUACUCCACUACUUGUGGAACCAGAUAAGACUCUGGCCAAAAUUAGUGAAUUUGAUGAAGCAGUCUUCCCUAGAUCCUCUCUUAGAAGAUCUUUUUCUAUGCAAGAGACUAUUGUUAAUUCACUUUAUCUACCCCCACACCCUCCCAUCCGCCCCCUCCCCCCCACUAUUGGUGAAAGGAAGGUACUCUGUCAGGCACUGAGAUAUACAGGCAAAUUAGGCAUGGCUGAUCUUAUGUUUGUAGAGAUUACAGAUUAAUAGAAGAGAUAGGCUGUUCCAAGAUGGCGAGAUAAAAUCUAUCUGGGAAAUGAGGACAAGAUACUGACGGAGUGGAGACUAAUCCAGCUUGGCGGCUCAGAGAAGACUUCAAGGAUAAGAUGAUACUUGAGUUUUGAUUGGCAAGGAGGGAUUGACUAGAUAGAAAAGGGGGAGAAUGUUCUGGGAAGAAGGUGAACAAGUGCAUGAACUUAAAAUCUAUGAUGAGUGUGUAAGGGUGUGUGGGGUGAAGAGGGCAUGAGAAGUGGUGUGAAAUGAGGUAGAAACUCAAGCUUGGCCAGGUGUGAAGAGGAUUGUGUGCUACAGUGAGGAGUCUGGACUAGGUCCUGAGGACACCAGGAAGCACUGAAGAUUUUAAGCAGGGGAGUGAAAUGUUCAGAUUUUGCAUACUUAAAAGAUCUUUCUGGCAUUAAUGGCUUGGGAAGGAGCAAGGACACUUGUUAGGUCAUUGCAGUAAUUGGGGGGGGGGGCAAUUUAGAUGACCUGAAGUGUUGCUAGAAACCUAGAGAAGUGAGGGAAUAGGAGAGUUAGGAACUUUGAGUGGAUAGACCAGGUGCCUGGUGUCUGGUCCCUGGUCCCUGGAGGGAGGAUUGUUGAGACAGCUCCCAAGUUUCUGCUUAAACACAGGUUGGAUGAUGAUAUCACUCAUGGAGAUUGGUGGGGUGAGGGGGUCUAGGGAAGACUGCCUCGUUAAAUUCACUUGGAAGGGAGAGAGGAGGAUAGAAGAUGAGUUCCCUUAGGGUCAUGUGGAUGUGGGUGGGUCUGGGGAGCCUCUAAGUGCAUGUCUCAUAGGCAGCUGAACACCCACACUCAGAAGAAAUAAGUAUUUGAGUGUCACACGUGUGUGAUGGUGGUUGAAACCAUGGGUUUGGUUUGUUAUAUUGCCUGCCCAGAACUGGUGCUUGCAGAGGCACUGAAGAGUCAUCUGCACGUGGUAGAAAUGACUUUUAAAGCCCUAGAAGAAUCUCUACGUGGUAUUUAAGAGGUUUUACUAGGAUAUUCACGUGGGGACCAUCCUUUUUCACCUUUGUGCUGCCAGAACUCUCCAGAGGGCCCACAUGCUUAGUAAUGUUGGAUGAAUGGAUGAGUGAAGUCCCCUGGUCCAUUGGAAGUUGUAGAUGGAGAACCAGCAUCACCAGACCCAUACCCCUGAUUCUGUAGGUUCAAGUUGGGAAUUAAUGACGUUCAGAAUUCUCACAAUUCCAAACCUUCCAGAGAUUCUCAGGUGAUUUCUACAAUCACCUUGAGGAAUUUUCUCAUAAAACAGAUCCUCAGGCCCCAUGUAAAGAUAUUUUGAUUUAGUAGGUCUGAGCUGGAGCCUGGGAAUCUGCUUUCAAAACAAGCUCCUGAAGGGUCUCUGAUGCGGAUGCAAUGUGGGCCACAUUUGGGGAAAAGCCACUUGUGCUGUAUAUUCCCCGUAUCUCCAUCCAGACCUGCUCUUUGUUUUUACUUACUCUAGUCUGUGCCCGAUAAGGCUGCCUUCUGUAGCCCGCACCAGCCAGGCUCCUUUGGUCUCUGGCUUCCACUGGGUUCAGUCAAUGGAAAGGAAGCAAGAGCAGGAGAUGGGUGGGAGAAACGAGGGUGGGCACUUAUUUACCAGGCCCCCUUCCCAGCCGUGGUUUGGCAGUGGCUACAUCCACAGUUCCUGAUGGGUAGCCCUCUCUGCUGGCUAAAGCUUUCCCCAAGUCCUGUAUCAGCUCCUUUCCUUUACCCCUGCAGGCCUGGGGUAGUAACGGCCAUCCAUCACAGCUAGUCUCUGGGUGCUUUGCUAUCUUUAUUUCCCCUAACUCUAUCCAGAUGUCUAAAUAAUUUGUUGAUUACAUGCUCUCCAAUUACCGCCUUGAGUGUGCCCUCUGCUUCCUGCCAAGACAGGAAAACAAAAACAUUGACUGGAAAGGGUCAGGAAUUCUGGUCCCAGUUCAGUUCAGUUUAAUUCAAUUCAGCAAACAUUUACUGAGCGAGGUCCUCUGAGCCAGGCUCUGUGCCAGAAGCUGGGGAUACAGAAAGUGACUUAGACACUGUACCAGCCUGUAGAGGGUUCACAGCCUAACGGGAGGCAGAGCCCCAGAAUACAGGGUGAUGGUGUGGUAGCUCAGGGUAACAUUGGAAGUGCAGGGGAGACAUCUAUGCUAGGACGGGCAGGCAACAAAGGCUUCCCAGAAAAAGGGGACAUGUAGAAUUCGGGUGGGCAGGAAAAGAAUGAGAGAGGACACUUCAGGCAGAGACAGAAUCAUGACAUGAAUGGCUGCCUGGAGGGAGCUUUGUGCCCACUCUGCUGGAAGCUGUGCAAGAGGGUUGCCUCAGAGGCUUGAGAUGUGGGAUGCUCCCCUUGGAACAGGUGCUAGUUAGGGUACCCCUGCCUCCAGGUGUUCUCUGUGGACUGGGGACCUCCUAUUCUUUCCCAACUGCCAUGAGUUGGGCUCCUCUCCUUUUUUUUUUUUUUAAACAAUUUAACUUUUUUUAAUUUUUAUUUUUGAGACAGGGAGAGACAGAGCAUGAACAGGGGAGGGUCAGAGAGAGGGAGACACAGAAUCUGAAACAGGCUCCAGGCUCUGAGCUGUCAGCACAGAGCCUGACGCGGGGCUCGAACUCACAGACCACAAGAUCAUGACCUGAGUCGAAGUCAGCCGCUCAACCGACUGAGCCACCCAGGCGCCCCAUGGGCUCCUCUCCUUCUUAAGCAGGUUACCUCACAGCCUACCCUCAGAGGGUUGUCUAGGAGAAAAGAGGGAGAUUGCACGGAGUAAGGGGUGGGGGGUCAAUGAGGUUAAGUCAAAAGAAAAACUCUGGCUGUUAUAUACAACAGACCUCCCAUUUGGGACUCCUGAUUCCACAAACUAUCUCCAUUGACUUUAAAGGAAGGUGAGUCUGGCAAACUCUUAUUCAGCCUUCAAAAGCCAACCGAGAUUUACUUUCUGCAGGAAGACGUCCUGGAACUCCCUAACCAAUGCUUCUUCUUUGUCUUCAUCCUAGUCUGGUAAUUUGCAUGAUCACCAGUCUGUCUAGCCCACUUGAGUACUAGAUCCUCAGGCCUGUGGCUUUGACCUAUUUGUCUCUUUCU